CAACAUUGGUGGAUUUCUUAGGCAAGCGUCCAGCCCCACUGGUUGCUGAUACAGGUGCCAAAAAAAGGAGAGGUUUAGCCAAGCGACUAAAUGAUAAGGCUCGGAGAAAAACCUGAGUAAAUAUAGGGGGAUGAGUUUCUGGAGGAGCCUGCAGUGGUUGAGCUAGAUGGGAGCACCAUGGAGGCGACAGAAGUCGAAAACAAGCUACACUAAAGCUUUUUUGUUGUUAACUAUUGUUGGGGAAUAAUCAGAAUUGGUUGGUAACAUAGGUAAGAUGUUUUAUAUUCAUCAUAUGUUUGUAAGUUACUUCUCAUCUGAAUGGUAUUUUUGUAUAAUACUGUGGAGGGGUUGCAGUUAUCUGUUCUAUGUCAAGACUAAGUUGCAUGGGCCGCAGAGAGGGGAGAGGUCAAGGUGUCAUCAUGUGUAAACAUAUCUUUUGCUCCACUGUGUCUGUGUGCCAGUCACUCCCUACUUUUCCCAUCGGGGAGAGGAGGAUGGAAGUGUCUGGAAUCAUUCUAUGCUCCCCGUGAGCUUGUCCAGGAUUGGUUGUAUUUAGAAUUGGUUGUAUCUAAAUGACAAUUUGAUAUAUGCCUGUUGAUAUGGAGUAUUGGUUUAUGCUUCUGUGUUUGAGUAAGGAGACAAAGCUGAACGAUUUAUUAUGUCUAUGCUGUCUGACUAUGUGUGUUCUUUGCUAUUAAAGGAUCUCAGUUGCAAUGUAGUGGGGCUCUCAGAGAAUUCAUUGAGAGACACUGAAUUUAUCUGAGAGUCACAUGAUUUUGAUAGAGCUCAUAUAAUUAAAGAUGGACUUUGAUAACUAA